rnacentral:rRNA from 1 species
GGUUUGAUCAUGGCUCAGAUUGAACGCUGGCGGGAUGCUUUACACAUGCAAGUCGAACGGCAGCACGGACUUCGGUCUGGUGGCGAGGGCGAACGGGUGAGUAAUGUAUCGGAACGUGCCUAGUAGCGGGGAUAACUACGCGAAAGCGUAGCUAAUACCGCAUACGCCUCGGGGGAAAGCGUAAUUCCCGGGCCUCGCACCAUUAGGAGCGGCCGAUAUCGGAUUAGCUAGUUGGUGGGGUAACGGCUCACCAAGGCGACGAUCCGUGUAGCUGGUUUGAGGUGACGACCAGCCACACUGGGACUGAGACACGGCCCAGACUCCUACGGGAGGCAGCAGUGGGGAAUUUUGGACAAUGGGGGAAACCCUGAUCCGAGCCAUCCCGCGUGUGCGAUGAAGGCCUUCGGGUUGUAAAGCACUUUUGGCAGGAAGAAACGGCACGGAUAAUACCCCGUGCAACUGAUUGUAUUCUUGCAGAAUAAGCACCGGCUAACUACGUGCCAGCAGCCGCGGUAAUACGUAGGUGCAAGCGUUAAUCGGAAUUACUGGGCGUAAAGCGUGCGCAGGCGGUUCGAAGUUGAAAGAUGUGAAACCCCAGAGCUUAACUUUGAACUGCAUUUUUAACUACCGAGCUAGAGUGUGUCAGAGGAGGUGGAAUUCCGCGUGUAGCAGUGAAAUGCGUAGAUAUGCGGAGGAACACCGAUGGCGAAGGCAGCCUCCGGGAUAACACUGACGCUCAUGCACGAAAGCGUGGGGAGCAAACAGGAUUAGAUACUCCGGUAGUCCACGCCCUAAACGAUGUCAACUAGCUGUUGGGGCCUUCGGGCCUUGGUAGCGCAGCUUAACGCGGUGAAGUUGACCGUGCCUGGGGAGUACGGUCGCAAGAUUAAACCGAAGGAAUUGACGGGGACCCGCACAUGGGUGAUGAGGGAUUAAUUCGAUGCAACGCGAAAACCUUACCUACCCUUGACAUGUCUGGAAUCCCGAAGAGAUUUGGGAGUGCUCGUGCGGAGAACCGGAACACAGGUGUUGCAUGGCUGUCAGUCGCCGCAGAUGUUGGGUUAAGUCCCCGGGCAACGAGCGCAACCCUUGUCAUUGAAGGCUACGAAAGGGCACUCUAUCGAGACUGCCGGUGACAAACCGGAGGAAGGUGGGGAUGACGUCAAGUCCUCAUGGCCCUUAUGGGUAGGGCUUCACACGUCAUGCGUCGGUCGGGACAGAGGGUCGCUAACCCGCGAGGGGAGCCAAUCCCAGAAACCCGAUCGUAGUCCGGAUCGCAGUCUGCAACUCGACUGCGUGAAGUCGGAAUCGCUAGUAAUCGCGGAUCAGUAUGUCGCGGUGAAUACGUUCCCGGGUCUUGUACACACCGCCCGUCACACCAUGGGAGUGGGUUUGUUUCAGAAGUAGUUAGCCUAACCGCAAGGGGGCGAUUACCACGGUAGGAUUCAUGACUGGGGUGAAGUCGUAACAAGGUAGCUCUGUGCCAUUACCUGAUGCCCU